rnacentral:rRNA from 1 species
CCAGGGGAGGGAUCAUUA